rnacentral:rRNA from 1 species
AGUCAACCUACCCUAUGGACGGGAAUAAUCUCGGGAAACUGAGGAUAAUUCCAGAUAGAACACUAUGCCUGGAACGGUUUGUGUUCCAAAUGAUUUAUCGCCGUAGGAUGGGACUGCGUCCUAUCAGUUUGUUGGUGAGGUAAUGGCCCACCAAGACUAUUACAGGUACGGGCUCUGAGAGGAGUAGCCCGGAGAUGGGUACUGAGACACGGACCCAGGCCCUAUGGGGCGCAGCAGGCGAGAAAACUUUGCAAUGUGCGAAAGCACGACAAGGUUAAUCCGAGUGGUUCCUGCUAAAGGAACCUUUUGACGGUCCUAAAAACACCGUUGAAUAAGGGGUGGGCAAGUUCUGGUGUCAGCCGCCGCGGUAAAACCAGCACCUCAAGUGGUCAGGAUGAUUAUUGGGCCUAAAGCAUCCGUAGCCGGCUCUGUGAGUUUUCGGUUAAAUCUGUGCGCUCAACGUACAGGCUGCCGGGAAUACUGCAGAGCUAGGGAGUGGGAGAGGUAGACGGUACUUGGUAGGAAGGGGUAAAAUCCUUUGAUCUAUUGAUGACCACCUGUGGCGAAGGCGGUCUACCAGAACACGUCCGACGGUGAGGGAUGAAAGCUGGGGGAGCAAACCGGAUUAGAUACCCGGGUAGUCCCAGCUGUAAACCAUGCAAACUCAAUGAUGCAUUGGCUUGAAACCAAUGCAGUGGU